GGAUAAAUGGCUGAGUGGUUUAAAGCGCUAGUCUUGAAAAUUAGUAUAUUAUAAAUAUCAUAGGUUCGAAUCCUAUUUUAUCCA
rnacentral:tRNA from 1 species